rnacentral:rRNA from 1 species
AUGGCUCAGGAUGAACGCUAGCGGCAGGCCUAACACAUGCAAGUCGAGGGGUAUAGAGUGCUUGCACUUUAGAGACCGGCGCACGGGUGCGUAACGCGUAUGCAAUCUACCUAUUACAGGGGAAUAGCCCAGAGAAAUUUGGAUUAAUGCCCCAUAGUAUUAUUGAAUGGCAUCAUUUAAUAAUUAAAGAUUUAUCGGUAAUAGAUGAGCAUGCGUACUAUUAGCUAGUUGGUGUGGUAACGGCACACCAAGGCUACGAUAGUUAGGGGCCCUGAGAGGGGGAUCUCCCACACUGGUACUGAGACACGGACCAGACUCCUACGGGAGGCAGCAGUGAGGAAUAUUGGACAAUGGUGGGAACACUGAUCCAGCCAUGCCGCGUGCAGGAAGACUGCCCCAUGGGUUGUAAACUUGCUUUUUUACGGGAAGAAACACUCUCACGUGGAGAGCUUGACGG